rnacentral:rRNA from 1 species
GAUGAACGCUGGCGGCGUGCUUAACACAUGCAAGUCGAACGGAAAGGCCCAAGCUUGCUUGGGUACUCGAGUGGCGAACGGGUGAGUAACACGUGGGUGAUCUGCCCUGCACUUCGGGAUAAGCCUGGGAAACUGGGUCUAAUACCGGAUAGGCCGAUGGUUUGGAUGCCAUUGUGGAAAGUUUUUUCGGUGUGGGAUGAGCUCGCGGCCUAUCAGCUUGUUGGUGGGGUAAUGGCCUACCAAGGCGUCGACGGGUAGCCGGCCUGAGAGGGUGUACGGCCACAUUGGGACUGAGAUACGGCCCAGACUCCUACGGGAGGCAGCAGUGGGGAAUAUUGCACAAUGGGCGCAAGCCUGAUGCAGCGACGCCGCGUGGGGGAUGACGGCCUUCGGGUUGUAAACUCCUUUCGCUAGGGACGAAGCGUUUUUGUGACGGUACCUGGAGAAGAAGCACCGGCUAACUACGU